rnacentral:rRNA from 1 species
UACGUAGGGUGCGAGCGUUAAUCGGAAUUACUGGGCGUAAAGCGUGCGCAGGCGGUUCGCUGUGUCCUGUGUGAAAGCCCCGGGCUUAACCUGGGAAUGGCAUGGGAAACUGGCGGGCUGGAGUGUGGCAGAGGGGGUGGAAUUCCGCGUGUAGCAGUGAAAUGCGUAGAGAUGCGGAGGAACACCGAUGGCGAAGGGCAGCCCCCUGGGCUAACACUGACGCUCAGGCACGAAAGCGUGGGGAGCAAACAGG